UGCGGCAGGAGGUGUUACAAUAAGACAACCCCCUCGCCUUUUACUAGGGGGUUCCGUGUAUCGCCUCCAUCUGAAUGCCGCAUUACGAAUUUUUCAGCUCUCAGCUUGCUCUGAGAU
rnacentral:snRNA from 1 species